GCCACUGCAUUACAAAUGGUUAAUAUGCUCAGCUACUAACCAAAAGGUUGGAGGUUCAAAUCCUCUCAGAGGUA
rnacentral:tRNA from 1 species